CUCUGUUGCAAUGUGGCUUUGACAAUGAUGCAGGCUCUUGUUUUCAAUGAAAAUACCAGCAUUGUGCAGCCUCCAGACAGAGCCAGACAGCUUUCCAUGUAAACCACUGGAUUAUGCCAAUAUUUGACGCAUCUGCCAAUAUCUAGAAAAACAAGUCUAAAAGCCCAUAUUGUUAUAUAACAGAGAAACAAGGCAGGCUUGGUGUGAAGGGCUGCUUCCUCUUGCUCUCUUGAUCCUGAGGAAGCCAGAGGAUGCCAGAGGAUGAGAAGGAGAAUUCCAGUUUCAGCAGAGGCUGAAGCCUUUGCAUGCUAGCUGCAGGGGAGAUGGGAGAAGCUUGAGCCCUUCCUCCUGCCCAAGUGGGAAAAAUCAGGCUCUCACAGCAGCAUCCUAAGCACACUGUAGGUGCUUGAUGUGUUGAAAGAGAAAUCUUUGAAGUAUUUGAAAGAAGGGGGCUUUCCACUUUCCCAAGGGGUCUGCCUGGUCCCCUCUUCCUGGUCAGCUUGAUGAGAGGGAACUCCUGUUUGAGAUUCCCAUGUUGGGGGGCAUUGGGAUGGCCAAAAAGGGAGCAAAACACCUGAGAGAUCUCAGAAAUUCAGAGCCAAACACAAGCCCUGUCACAAAGAGCAGAGGAUCACCCUUUAUCUUGUUUCACCUGGCCACUCUGGCUAGGACAGAGGCCCUCUGUUGCUUGUGCUUCCUCCCCUGUGUGGGGCCAGGAGGAGACUAGAAGCAAGUUCCUCUGGGAUGCGGAGGGCAAGCAGGGCAAGGAUGCCCUCUCUGCUCUGCCAGGAGCUGCAAUGGGCCAGGAGCAACAGAAGGAUAAGAAAGCUCAGCAGCCCCACAGUCCUGCCAGCAGAUCCACAAGGUGUAGAUGGAGGAAGGGAGUGCUGGCCCUUGAAAUGGCAGCCCCAGUGCUGCUCACUGGGCAUCUGCUGUUCUCCCUGCCUUCCCUUUGUGCCUGUGCAAGAGCUUCUGACUGUAUCUGGAUUAUCUGACUGUACCUGGAUUAUCUACUUCUACCCCCCAGCUCCCCUUCAAAGUCGUCUGUCCUGAGCCUGUAUCAGAGGGGAGUCUGGCUCCUGCUCUGUGCAGCCCCUGCUUGCACUUGGCUCUGCCUGGCUGCAGAGGGCUGUAAUUUCACAGCCUGCUCUCCUCUCCAGCUCCCAAUGACAUCACCCACUCUGAUUAUAUAAAGCACAGGGAGGAAGCCUUUAUUUAUGCGUGCUUUUUGCUCAUAGCUUCAGCUGUCUCAGUGUACAACACACAUGCAAAUCCCACUGCAGGAACUGGGCUCUCUUUUGCCUGAAUCAAAACUGCACUGCAGAAAAAGGUGUGGGUGAAAAAAAAAAAAAAGUCUCUGUUUCCUUCCCCCACACCUCUGAAUACAUUUUUGAGGAGUUUUGGUAGGAAUCAACCUAGCACAACACUGCACCAUAGCAAACUGGGCACAAAGCCAUCAGCUUCCUCCCUGCCUGGGAAGUCCCCAGAGAGCUGAGGGACCUUUGCUGGCAGUUCCAAGCCGUGUCUCUGCUGGUCAUGAAGUGGCUACACCGGGGCUGGAAACCUAACCCCCUGACAAUGCCUGACAGAGUCCCUGCAAAGGCCAGCCCAGGGCUGUAAGGCCACUGGCAGUUUCCCUCCCUGGGCUCUGGAGGGCUCAGCCAAGUCCCUGUGCACCCCCUGACAAGCAGGUGACCCCCACCACCUGCUCCAUCCUCCUCUGGUCAAUGCUGCAGACACGAGCCAUCUCUGAAUGUUAGCACUGCCAGAGACAGCAGCUUCUUUGCCAGAAGUGGUUUGGGAUUUGUGCAGGAUUCUUGCCAAAUUCCACCAUGGGCAGAAGCGAUGGAAACUGAGAAAAGAAACUUUCUCUGCUGAGGAGUCAGGCAAACGCGUGCACACUCGGCUCCGGAGCAUCAGUUUACCAGACUCAGCACUAUCCCCCCAUCAGACACUGCUGAGAGACUUUGCUGAAUCAAGGCCUGAACAUCUGCAAAACACACACACACAGACACACACACACAAACUCUCUUCCCAUCUUUAAAAGAUCAAGCCUCCCUCCCAGCAGGAAAUGACCAACUCGCCUCCAGCAGCAGUUCAAAAUGCUGAAUUCUUAAUUUUGUAUGUUGAAAGAAGGGAGCAUCUGAGGGAAAAGAAAAGCAUUUCCCAGAUAUUUUUGUACUUAUGCCUCCAGGUCUAUAGGGCUUGAAUUCAACAGUGGAUUUAAGCAUGUGCUCAACGUUAGGAAUAUGCUCAAGUUCCACUGAGGCUAAAUCAGACACUUGAUCCCUGUGAGAUGUUUAAAAAAUAGAAUCAAACCAAAAGAAGCACCAGAAGAACCAGAAGAAGGAGGAUCCUAACAUGGAGAAGGACAUUAUCAUAUGUCUCCUCUUCCCUCAAAGCCUUUUCAAAGUCGAAUCUAAUUUAACCCUGAAAUUAGAAACCACCAACUUUGUUUGGAUUUCAAAGCCUAACAGAUUGCCUAAAAAAUUCAGGAAGGAUCACUGGUUAAAGAAAGCAAUUCCUGGAGAAACACAUGUGACCCCACAUCAAUAAUUCACUGUACGAGAAUGAUUUUGAGAUAAAAGUAAUGAGAAACACAUGCAAAAACCACAGGGCAGGGAAAAUACGGUUUCCUUCUAAAAGCAAUUCAUAGGUCAGAGGCUGCUUAUCUCCAACAGCCAUCAUACGACUUGAUGUUUUUUCCUUACUCUUGUCCCUGAUCCCUCAGCCCAGCUCUCUCAGCAAGGUAUCUGCUCCCUGCUUUACUGAGCGCUUGUCUCCAGUGAGGAAAGAGGUUUUUCCAAGCACCUGGCUGCGGGCUGGAGGAGGCAGGAGGAGGCUGAGCCCCCGCUGUCGGUGCUGCAGCGCGUUAUGCAACUGCUGUGAGCCCUCUGGCCACGCAACAACGCUGUGGUGGCGCGCGGCCAGCCUGCAAUAAACACACUCACACUCCUGAUUCCACAGGGCACCACGAACACAUGUUUCAGAAGGAAAUCUGGCUCACAAAUACACAGCUAAAAGUUAAUAUUCUCCACCUGAGCUGUGAAAUCGCUCCCAACAAGCCUUGCUUUUGGAUUUUAAAUCAAGUCUCAUGAUUAUUUUUGUGCAUUUUCUCCCAGUUGGAAGAAGAUACUUGCUCAUCUGACCCUGUUUCCAGUCAAUUUCUACCAAUGGGUCCCUGGCAUGUAGGAGUAUUUGUACUCCAAAUGCUAAUAAACUGUGCCAUGAAAAUUAAUUGAAAAAAAUCCUUCAUAUAUUUAAGUUUUUAGAAGUAAAGAUUUACCAUUUUAAAUAAACAAAGAAAUGAAAAUUUAAGACCGACAAUAAAAAGACCUGACAACAUACUAUAAACAGGAAUUUGAAGGAACAAAAAAGUUCUAUGACUAACAUUUUCGGCUUCAUCUUAACCAUGUCAGGUCUGCCUGCAAAAGUUAGAGAUGAACAUGCACCCAACUGUAUUCUCAAAUCAAGGGCAAAGGAAAAACAAACCACAAAUUAUGGAUCUAUGACCUAACAAUGGUAAGAACAAUAAUAGAAAUAAUAAAAAAAAACCCAACCCCAAGGCAAUGCAGUUUUUCAAAGUCACACAAAUCAAUGCACCUCUGCCCGUUGACAAGCCACGUAUCAGGCAGAUAAGGGGUGGCACAGUGCAUAAGAAAGUAGUCGUGAUUCAAGCCUGUAAGUGGAAACUAAAUAAAAACAGCAAUGUACUGAUGUGCUCCACAACUGCAGCGUUUUGUCCAAAGGCCACCUCAGUGACAAAACCAAAAACAGGUACCCUGGGAAAGGGAGUAUCUUACCAAGAAACUGAAAUACUCAGGAAAAAAUAGCCAGUUUGGGGGCACACAAACGCUUCUCCCUAUCUGCAACAGGAGCCACAAGCCUUAAGAUGGGAAGACUCAUCCCUGAUGUCAACUUUGGAAGAGUUUCAGGUUCUUGGCAAACAGAAGCUGCAAGACCAACAAACCUUGUGCCAAGUGAUGUGUUGCCACCACUGGUCUAUUCCAACAUGGAUCUUUCUAGCCUUCUACUGCAGUCUGGAGAAAGACAUGCUCUCUCCACCUCUCUCUGCAUCACACAGCUGUCAAAAUCUCUGCGUUUCCUGAGAUCCUUCUGGGGAUACACAGUGUGCUCACAACCGCCAAGUCAGUGCAGCGUCCUCCUGCAUGCUGCCAACAUGCCUGCAAAGCAGCUGUGCCAUUCAUCAGAAACCUGCCUCCUUGCAGAGGAGGCACUAACCUGCUUUGCUGCAACCUACGGAUUUUCAGCUUUACUGCUAGAAUUAGGUCACUGGCAAAGAUAGCCAAGAUUUUCCAAAUUCUCCAGCUAUUCUUGAUUAUUCUGUUCAGAGGUUUCCUGGCUAAGAACCCUGCCUUUGAAAUGAAGAGGUAUUUUGGGCUCCUGCAAGGCUUCUGCAGUCAGACACUGAGAAGCAGGGAUGCUCUCACUCCAUAAUCCUUAAUGGCCUCUAAAACUGCUGGCAAUGGGAAAGUUCUCCAGCUCAGAUCUACUGCCACCAGGUCCUUCCAGCCUCUCCAGAAGAAAUCAGAGAUGGUGCACACCAGAAAACAGAUGAAUUGGCAAGGAUCUGCAGAGACCCUCGAAGACCCAUGCCUGCACUUGAGUCUGGCAGAACCUGAGGUAGCAGACAGCUUCCCAGCAGGCAGCUGGAGAGCAGCCAGGGACCAGCCUCCUGCCUACAGUGGAAAAGCUACCCCUGGUCCACAGGUUGUACAGCAGUAAAAGCACACACAGUACCUCAAAGCCUCUGCUUCUCUGCAAUACUACUGAAAGAGAUCUUGGACUUUGGUACCUUUCAAAUGCAGUCAGGUUUCAAACUUGUACUUUCAUUAACCAGCUGAAAGAAGCAAGCAUUUGCUUUGUAAGACAGACAUUUGUACAUCACUGAAACACUAAAGGAUGCUAUCAACUUGUUAUCUGGGAAAAUAUGUUUCCUGUUUUUAAAAUCAUGAGUAGGAAAUUUGUCAGUAUCAAGAAUAGAUUCUGAUGUGGUUUUUUGUCAUUAACAUAGUUUUAAAAAUUACACAGGUAAGUUCUAGCUACUAAGAAUUUUUCCAUCACAUACAUCUAUUUUCUGAAGCUUACCUCAUGGAAGAAAAUUCCUAAUAAAAAUAUAUUCUAAGAAUGUGACCAUUUGACAUACUUGUUUACACAAAAUCUUUUAUGCCAAAAGAAAGCAUGUGCUCUUCAUCUAAUAUCUCUUCACAUUGUCAGAAAUAUUUAAGGAGUCAUCAA